rnacentral:rRNA from 1 species
UACGGAGGGUGCAAGCGUUAUCCGGAUUCACUGGGUUUAAAGGGUGCGUAGGCGGGUAGGUAAGUCAGUGGUGAAAUCUUCGAGCUUAACUCGGAAACUGCCUUUGAUACUAUCUAUCUUGAAUAUUGUGGAGGUAAGCGGAAUAUGUCAUGUAGCGGUGAAAUGCUUAGAUAUGACAUAGAACACCUAUUGCGAAGGCAGCUUACUACGCAUAUAUUGACGCUGAGGCACGAGAGCGUGGGGAUCAAACAGG